rnacentral:rRNA from 1 species
UACGUAGGGUGCUAGCGUUGUCCGGAUUUAUUGGGCGUAAAGAGCGUGUAGGCGGCCAGGUAGGUCUGCUGUGAAAACUCGAGGCUCAACCUCGAGACGUCGGCGGAAACCAUCUGGCUAGAGUCCGGAAGAGGAGAGUGGAAUUCCUGGUGUAGCGGUGAAAUGCGCAGAUAUCAGGAAGAACACCCGUGGCGAAGGCGGCUCUCUGGGCUGUAACUGACGCUGAGGCGCGAAAGCGUGGGGAGCAAACAGG